rnacentral:rRNA from 1 species
GAUGAAUGCUAGCUACAGGCUUAACACAUGCAAGUCGCGGGGCAGCAUGGGGGUUGCUUGCAAUCCCCGAUGGCGACCGGCGCACGGGUGAGUAACGCGUAUCCAACCUGCCCUUCACCACGGGAUAACCCGGCGAAAGUCGGACUAAUACCGUAUGUUGUCCAUUGACGGCAUCCGAUUUGGACGAAAGGCUUGGCGGGUGGGGGGGGGGAUGCGUCCGUUUAGCCAGGCGGCGGGGUCAAGGCCCACCGUGGGUACGGUCGGUAGGGGUUCUGAGAGGAAGCUCCCCCACACUGGAACUGAGACACGGUCCAGACUCCUACGGGAGGCAGCAGUGAGGAAUAUUGGUCAAUGGGCGUAAGCCUGAACCAGCCAAGUAGCGUGCAGGAUGACGGCCCUAUGGGUUGUAAACUGCUUUUAUGCGGGGAUAAAGUGGCCCACGUGUGGGCUUUUGCAGGUACCGAAUGAAUAAGGACCGGCUAAUUCCGUG